CUUUUCAUGAAUACAAAUUUUCAUUUUUUUCCCACAUAGCUCUGUUAUUGAUCACAUGGGUGCACAGCUGAUGGGACUAUCUCCAGAGACUAACUGCUCUGGAUGCAAGAGCUCUUCAUUUAUCCAUAGAAGUGGUAUAGUACGGCCAAUGGCAAUGCAAGCUCUAUCACUGUGCCCUGUAACCGGACUUCUGGGUUUUUGUGGAGAGAUGGCCAUAGGGAAAGGAGAAGGCAGUGCAGUUACUUUCCAUGGCCAUUCAGUUGAUUUAAAAAAAAAAAAUGUCUGUUCUUUGUUGAGUAGCAUCCCUAUGGGCCAUGGAGGAUUUGCAGGCUUGGGUAGGCUGGCUCGCAGCUGGCCUGGCCUACCCCACCCACUCACCUGUUGGAGCUUAGAGGGUGCCCCACCAGCUCCAGAGUUUAUGGUAGAUCUGCAGGAAGUCAGCUGAGCAUAGUCCAUCCCUAUCCCGGAGUGUUGGGUGGUUUGAGAGCAUGGCCCCUAGUGCCCCAAGUACUGGGUGGGUGGGUGAUGUGAGCAUUGGCUCCAGCCGCCACUUGGAGUCCCUGACUGCAAGCCAGCCCUUGCUAGCUUCAGCCCAGGACACAGGUACCAGAAUGCUCCCAAAAGGUGAAGAGAGGAAGCCCCCUGCUUGUGUCCCAGCCCCAGGGCAGAUGGAGGGACCUAGGCUCCCCACAGUUGCCCAGGCAGCUCUUCCUGACCUGGCUCUGGCCUGGAGAAGAGGGUCUCUGAGCUGCAGCUUGGCUAUAACAGCUAUGCAGGAAGUUGUUGGGUGCUAUGGUGGAUUUCCCACCUGCCUGGACUGCAGAGAUGCUUCACUUUAGGUGUGCUUUCAACUUUCUAGUUCCAGAAAACCAAAACCCUUGGUACUCCCCUGCCCUGAGGCCUUGCCUCUGCCCCCUUGCUGUGGUCUUAUUUUCCUCCCUCCACCCCCUCAUUCCAUCCCCUCUCCCUGUAGCGGCAGACUGGGUCACUGAUCCUUAGGGGAUGCCCUUCACUUUCAUUGGCCAUUGGAUCUAUUGUAUGCAUUCCCACAACUUCUCUAAUAGUUCUCAAAUUUCUGCUCAAAAUAAAAAAGGACAAAGCCAGAGUCGUCCUUAUAUUCUGAUAUGGCCUAGUCAAACAUGAUUUCCUUACCUGCUACAGCUGCCCAAUUGUUCAUGAAUUGCUCUAUUGUGCCUCAUCUUCUGUCUUAGGAAAGUGGGAAGAUCCUUCACGUUUGUCUCAAAGCAUGGUUUACUAGUGGUUCACAGGAAGAGAACCUGCUCAGAGGAGGUGUACGUAUGGGUGAUCCAUUACCUGACUUCCUCUGGUAUAGGGUUCUUUGUGUUAAAGAAGAAACAGAGUGGCCUGCCUGUGCAGUUCUAUAUAACAAUGGCGUGAAACAUGAGGUUGACUAACCUGAACAUAUGGGCCAAAUAGACACUCCUGUGAGAUCUCCAAAAGGGCACAAGCAUCCCUAGGGAUCACAUACUGCACAGGAUGAAUACCAUUUCUUUCAAAAGGCAGCCUGAAAAUGCUUCAGCAAGAACAUUCUGGAAGCUUGUUGUCUAGACUGAUGUAAGUAUAAUAGCCAUCCAUAAUGGAUUUGUGAGAUGAUCCAUGAAAUUGACCAAAAAGUCUUUACUGCAGGAUAAAGGCUUUUGACUAAUCUUGUUUAAAAUUCAUUUUCUUAAUUUAGAAGGGAGGUAUGGGCCUGGUCAUUGGAACCUAAACACCUCUCAGCAUUUCAUUAAAUGAUGUCCUUGCAAUUUUAUGGUAAAUGCAAAUAGGAUUGGUUCACUCUCCUUUCUGUUUCAUUUGGUUUGUUGGAUUAUUUUUUUUCUUUCCUUUACAUAUGUCUGUAUAAUUUGCUUUGUGUUAAUCAAGAUAACCUCUCAGGUGCAGCUGUUAAUACAGCACCCUGAACUACUCUUAACAUCAGGUAAAAGAUAAUUGUGUGCGCACAUCCCAGGUAUUUUAUACAAAGAGAUUAACACUGGGAUUUGUACAACAAAAUACCAGUUGGGAUGUGUUGGUGCUAUGGAAAUACCAUACAAAGCUGUUCAGGGCUUGUACACAGCUCAGCAGCUUUGAGAUGUGUACACCCUAGCAUGUCUUUUUCUUGCUAGAGCAAAACUCAUCUCUAUUAAGAUUUUACUUAUCCAGAGAAACAUCACAAAUUAAAUUUUGUGAUUUGGUGGGUUGUUGGUUGUUCAUUUAUUUUGAUUUAUACAUCAUUUAUAACUGUCUAGCCAUACAUCAUAGGCUCCUUGACAACACAGCCAAAGUACAGUACAAUUUAAUGUAACUUAUAUCACCAGUGAACAAGGCCCCAAGUACUUGAAUUCUCCUUCCUCCCUUGUAAAUUUUUUUUUAAACUCCUCCACUUUGAAAUGCUAAGAGCAAGGAGCGGAGUGAAUUCCAAAGCUGUGACAUCUUUGCAGAGCAUGCCCAGCCAAAAGCCCCUCUCAUUUUUAUCCAUGAGCAGCCAUCUUAAGUACCUAUGCUGAUAUCAACUGUGGCAGAAUAGCAUGAUAGAGAAAUGGCCUAUAGCUAUUUAAGGCUUGAGAGGUCAAAACCAAGGCCUUAAGUUCAUCCUAAGAGAGUAGUGGUUUAAUAUGUUCAUGGUGAGAUUUUCUGUUUACCAAGCAAGUCAUUUUUUUUCCACACUAGCUUCACUGUCCAGAUGGUUUUAAAUGAAGACCUAUGUAGCUCUUGCAGUAUCCCUGGAGCAGGGUUACUCAACUUUGGAAGCCCCAGGAGCCCCAAUGAUAC